GUGGGGAAUUUUGCGCAAUGGGGGAAACCCUGACGCAGCAACGCCGCGUGAGUGAUGAAGGCCUUCGGGUCGUAAAGCUCUGUCAGAGGGGAAGAAAUGCAGGGGUGCUAAUAUCAUCUUUGCUUGACGGUACCCUCAAAGGAAGCACCGGCUAACUCCGUGCCAGCAGCCGCGGUAAUACGGAGGGUGCGAGCGUUGUUCGGAAUUAUUGGGCGUAAAGCGCGUGUAGGCGGUUUGGUAAGUCUGAUGUGAAAGCCCCGGGCUCAACCUGGGAAGUGCAUUGGAAACUGUCAGACUUGAAUACGGGAGAGGGUAGUGGAAUUCCUAGUGUAGGAGUGAAAUCCGUAGAUAUUAGGAGGAACACCGGUGGCGAAGGCGGCUACCUGGACCGAUAUUGACGCUGAGACGCGAAAGCGUGGGGAGCAAACAGGAUUAGAAACCCGGGUAGUCC
rnacentral:rRNA from 1 species